rnacentral:rRNA from 1 species
UUUGAUCAUGGCUCAGAGUGAACGCUGGCGGCAGGCCUAACACAUGCAAGUCGAACGGCAGCGGGUCAGUAGCAAUACUGAUGCCGGCGAGUGGCGGACGGGUGAGGAAUACAUCGGAAUCUACCUUGUCGUGGGGGAUAACGUAGGGAAACUUACGCUAAUACCGCAUACGAACUACGGUUGAAAGCGGCGGACUCGCAAGAGCGUCGCGCGAUUGGAUGAGCCGAUGUCCGAUUAGCUAGUUGGCGGGGUAAAGGCCCACCAAGGCGACGAUCGGUAGCUGGUCUGAGAGGAUGAUCAGCCACACUGGAACUGAGACACGGUCCAGACUCCUACGGGAGGCAGCAGUGGGGAAUAUUGGACAAUGGGCGCAAGCCUGAUCCAGCCAUGCCGCGUGUGUGAAGAAGGCCUUCGGGUUGUAAAGCACUUUUGUUGGGGAAGAAAAGCACUGGGUUAAUACCCUGGUGUUCUGACGGUACCCAAAGAAUAAGCACCGGCUAACUUCGUGCCAGCAGCCGCGGUAAUACGAAGGGUGCAAGCGUUACUCGGAAUUACUGGGCGUAAAGCGUGCG